CCAGCCAAGUGACCAAAAUGGCUGGUCCCCUAGGGCACAUGCUCGCCGGGUAACUAGCGGGUGUGAAGCUGCCUGACAAGAAGCCCCAAGGGCCGACGGGUCGUCGUUGGCCACAGGGUAAGGGGAAGACCUGAAGGGCG
rfam:Streptomyces aureofaciens strain ATCC 10762 contig_64, whole genome shotgun sequence.